rnacentral:rRNA from 1 species
UAAAAGCACGUGAAGCCGUUGAAAGGGAAACGCGCUCGGCUAGCAAUGUGCCACGACGGUUCAGCCGUUUUGGGCGGUGAGGUGGCUGCUGUCGGAUCCGAAUGGACCGCUGUAGUCGUCGUCGCUGUCBGAGACGCGGUGCACUCUUUCGUGGUACGCGUCAGCGUCGGUUCGCAGCGGGCGAUGAGGCCUUGCGGAAGGUAGCUCGGGGCUUGCUCUGAGUGUUAUAGACGCAGGUGCUGGGUCCGCUGCGGACCGAGGAGAGAGAGUAUCGUUGCAGCGCAUGCCGCAAGGCUAGCUACCCGUUGUCUGGCUCGCUUCACAAACUGAGGACUGCACGCAGUGCUCGGAUUGGCGGAGUGGUCAGGCGGUGGAGUGGUAUAAAUGCGCUUAGGACGCUGGCGUCCAAAUGGCCGUGCGCGA